UUUUGAAUGCUUAAUACAUAAUCUUAGGUGUUUUAUAGUUAUCUGAUCGUGUUUGGAGGUUAUUAGUAGUGAUAUUAAUAAAAGAAAAGUAAGUAUAGUUAGGCUCGUCGCCCUGCCUCCAGCCCGCCUUCACCUCGAAGUUGCUGGCCAUCUUGACAGCCCGCAGACAGAAUCCUCGAGUAUUUCAGGAAUUUCUCGCCUUGGAACGCCUGGAAUCAUGGAGCCAGUGAUGGAAGCAGGAACAGGAGGACUUGGAGGAGAGGCUGGGACAGGGAAGUCUGCAGCCCACCAGCCUUUAUGGACCAGCCGCCACUGCUGCCACCCGAGCAUAUUCCCCUGAUGUUUGAGAGGAUGGAAGAGAAGGCCUCCACCCCAGCCCUGAAGGACAUGGUUGCCUCAUGAGGGCAACAUGGAUUAACUCAUCCCUGUGGCCCCCAGAGGCAUGGAGUGUGUUUAUGCCGUCAAUCCGCACCAACAAUGAAUGAUAUUGAAGGAUGGCAUGCCCGGCUGAACCGCCAUGCCCUUCUUGGCGCUCCCUUCAAGAUAGAGGCUUUGGUACUCACACAAGAAUGCACACACAUGGAUAUAAGGAGCCUGCAAGAGGCCAGACAACCUACACAUGGCAGUUCCUGAGGAUGGGCUGUUCAUCAGAUUCCCAUCUUGUCCACACUCCUCUUGGCUCAUCCUCUUCCCAGAAUGGACAGACAGAGCUCAUGAAGGCUGACUGACUGGCUGGAUCUCUGCUGCUGCUGUGUUGUGCAAAACCCUCAUGAUGCAAGAUUACGCCUCUCCGGGCCAGCAUACUGCUAUCCCGCCGAACUAGGAGCAACAGAAUGGCUGAAUUAUACACUACUAGCAACAAAAGGACUCUUAACUGCUUUUGGCUGAAUUAUACACUACUAGCAACAAAAGGACUCUUAACUGCUUUUGGCUGAAUUAUACACUACUAGCAACAAAAGGACUCUUAACUGUCAGUAUAAAGCAGUGUUAAAAUAAGCUUCUAAAGCCAUACAAUAGGUAUAUAGUAAUUAGACUUUUCAAAUGCUUACAGGCAUUGAAAUGCCAUUUUUGGUGAUAAUACACCAAGUGUUCUGCUAAAAUAUCCUUUAUUUCAGGCUAUUUGAGGCCUUAAAAACUGUACUAGUCAUAACUACCUCGCAGACUCUUCGGAGAUGAACAGGAAGGUUUUAGUGAAAAAGCCAAUGAGUGUGCGGUUAAGAGUAUUUAUUGACCAAAUCUAAUUUAUUACAAUAUUCGUGUGAACUGUUAUAAAAGGAGCGGCAGAGAUGAGAUGGAAGCCCUUCAGGAAGUCGAGUCUUCCCACCAAUGAGCAAGAGGAGACACCCGUCCUUUGAGGAGUAGUCGUCAACCCAAAUGAGAUGGAAGCCCAAUGAGCAGCAUGGAUCCAGGCAACUGCAAGACAGAGAUAGCAGUCUUUCAAGUAGUCAACUCUGGGUAACCCAGAGAUGAGAUGCCAGCCCUUCUGAGAGUUGAGAUGCCCACCAGUGAGCGGAAUGGGUCCAGGCAGCCCCCCACCUCAGCGAUCCUCAGGAGCAGUCACUUGUUCUGUCCUAAGGAGAGAGACGAGGAGGAUUACCAUCAGCUGCUGGCUGGUUUGGUCAAAAGCUCGGCCGCUGUUGUCUUUCAUUGUACUUUUACCCAAAUUUAAAUAAACUUCAUAAAGAUAC